ACGGUGCGUGCCGCGUUGUCUUAAAUCCACAGAAUAUAUUAAAACAAUAAAGCCGAAUUAUAAUAUUAUGUUUCCAUAGAAAAAAAACUAUCAUUAAACGGUAAUCUGUUUUGUAUACAUUUUUGAGACGGUGUCCGAUCUGCGCUCGCCAUUUAUACCGUCGACAUUCGACUCGUUUAUGACGAGUUGAUGUGUCAGUGUCGGAUCGUCUGAAUGAUGGAAGUUCAAGUUUAAUACAUACAAGGCUGACACGUACGAAAUUCUGUCGUAAUGGAGGAGGAAAACGAUAUGCUUGAAAAAUUUCCCUUGUUAUUGCCAAACACUAAUUGCACAUCAUGGAGCGGUUAUAUAUUUUUAAAAACACAGAGCGUAUUUGUUAAACUCUUAUGCCCACGGUUUCCUUCUUUGGAAAAUUUAAGUUUGAACAUUCUUCGAAUCGACGAUGUUAAUUUACAACAUUUUGAAUUAGAAAAAAUCGUAAAACAAACAACAAAACAAACUGGCAGUGUUCCUGAAUUUUUGUCGAGAUUGACUACUGUCUUGGACUGUUCAUUGAGCUCGACUCUUCCCGAUGUCGCUCUACUACCUCUUAGAAUCGAUCACGAUAGAUUUUGUGCAAUUAUUGGAGAAAUUAAAAAUGUCGUUUUUUACAUUGACAGUAUAGCAGAAGAUUUGAGUCAUAUCAAAUUUACAGUGAAUGAUGAAUCCCAACGUAAACAUUUCAUUAAAGUUAAUGUAUCAAACGACUAUCCGAUGAUCAAAAAGCAACCUAUGGAAUUUGACGCAGUAGUUCCAUCUGUUAUCAUGAAUUCACUGUUGAAAGUAAAUACUAUUGUUGAAUUAUUCGAUGAAUUUAAAAAAGGUGUAUCAUCUUUGAACGAUUUUUGGAAUGUUCACGAAGACAUUUUGAAGACUUGUAAUGUUAUAGAUUCUUAUACGUUGGCCGACGUGUGUUUCAAAAUUCCCAUUGAUAAACACGUGAUUGUAAACGUUGAAGUCGAUCCGUUGAAUCCUCUGUGCUGCCCCGAUUUUAAGUUACAAGGUCAAUGUGAAGACACUCAGAAGUUUCAACAAAGACUCCAUGAAAUCAAUCCAAUAUCGAUUUGGAGUACUUAUAAGAGUUUUAAGGAUAAUGUUGUGGAAGUGUUUGGAGUGGAGAUGAUCGCUUCUCAGUACGAAGAAAUGCCGGGACCGAGUAACGAAUCUAGCUAUUGUUUUAUAUGUUACGACGAGUUAGACGCAACGUCAAAGAAACAGACCAAAGUAUGUGUCAACAGCAAAUGCGACGCUGUGUAUCACAUUACUUGUAUUUGUGAGAUGGCACGCAUUAGGGUGAGUACCGCUAGGCCGGAAACCGGGAAGAGCGGGGACGGCGGCCAAAUACCCAGUGGCGGAGGGAGUACCGCCCUCCGAGGACCACCUUGCGGCGGGCGUCGCAGCUGAUGGAGGAAGCCCUUGGAUUAAUUCAGGGUCCCCAAGGUUCCCGCAGAGGGGGCUACGACUUGUACAGGCAGGGCUGGGAAGACCGCCACAGCGGCCUGCCUUUGGCUUCGCGGUACGAGUGGGAGCGGGCAAAUCGGGCAGGUGCUCCACUCACCUUACUGCCCGCUGGAAGCCUGGCCCAACCUGCAACCACGGUUCCCAUCCAUCAUCAGGCCCCAGAUCGUCAGUCAGGACUGCGGGAAAUGGACCCUGCUCCAACGCGCCCCCAACACCCAGCUCCAGUUUCGGGACGCCACCGGGAGAAGUCCCAAAGACGACCCGGAGUAUAUGGGCGAGGACGGGACGGCCGUUGGACAGCGGGAACUCUAACCAACAACAACCGCUAGACUCGACGCGCCGCCCAUAAUGUGAGGGACUCGGCAGGGAAAUUCACGGCGAGGAGAACGUCGCCCCCCCUCACCGAUGCCCUCAGCCAAGGAAGGACGGAGACCAGGCAGGAAAGAAGCGACCACCAACCUGGAACUUCACAGGCCAGCACUUUGAGUACGACAGUGGAAGCACCGGAGGAACCGGAAAGUGUCCAUACCCCCGCUGCUUCCCCAAACCAUUUCCCCAGAACCACUUACGAAGCGCUGACCUACGUGCCCGUAGGGUCGUCUGCUGCGGUGGUCUGUCAAGACCCCACGGACAUUUCAGCCAUGGAUGCCAUCCAGGAGCUGGAGGAGCUACUGGGACCGGAGAGGCCGGUGAACUGGGAAGCAGUACGUGCUUCACGCCACCAGUUGCAGAACGUCCAGCGGGCAACCGCGGUUGUUCAACCCAGCGGCCCGCCGACACCGGGUCACACCGCUCAAACCAUCUACAUUGACCUGACGUAAAGAGACCGUCCGGACUGGGAGGGGAGGAGUAUGUCGCGGUCGGCUCAAAAAUACUUGUAAAAUUAUAUCAAACGUAACAAUUUUCAGUUAUCUAUUAUGACUAAGGUCCGGAUAAAUAUUGCCCGAAGUCAAUUUUGGACUGCCGCAGGGAAACAUCACGCAGGGGUGCAAGAGCAAGUAGCCGCCGCUCUUCAACACUCGUUGUCGACUGCCAAAUCGUUUUAUACUAUAACGACCGCCGAAGAAGCCGUCAGGCAGCAGAGGGCGGUUUGCCAUGUAGAAAGCUCUGCGUUGUUGGGCGAGUAUUUGGCCGGAAGGUACGCCGAGUUGUUCGAUUGUACGGCUGAUGGACCGGCUCCGUGUUCGCUCGCCGAAUUUCAACGCAGACUUAGCGCCGAUGGCGAUCUUGAAGAGGUGAAUUAUUCUACUAACAGCGACGGCCUACGCCAAAAUCGUCGAUUUGGUGAAUCGCGAUCAGCGUGCGGCGCGAAUAAAAGUCUUGGCGAAUACGGCUCGGACGAGCGGCUACGCCUCUGGUGAAUUUGGAGUCCCUGAAUUAAUUAAAGUGGCCGCUAAAGUGAAGAAGUCUGCGUGGGUCACUUCACUUUCUGAAGUUCAGAAGUGGGAAGCUGCCAAAAAUGUAGCGAGCUUUCUGGCGGCGGGGACCGAUUCGGACUGAUUGGACUCGUGUGUGUUGUAUGUAAAGUAUAUU